GGGGAAUAUUGCACAAUGGGGGAAACCCUGAUGCAGCGACGCCGCGUGGAGGAAGAAGGUCUUCGGAUUGUAAACUCCUGUUGUUGAGGAAGAUAAUGACGGUACUCAACAAGGAAGUGACGGCUAACUACGUGCCAGCAGCCGCGGUAAAACGUAGGUCACAAGCGUUGUCCGGAAUUACUGGGUGUAAAGGGAGCGCAGGCGGGCGAUCAAGUUGGAAGUGAAAUCCAUGGGCUCAACCCAUGAACUGCUUUCAAAACUGGUCGUCUUGAGUAGUGCAGAGGUAGGCGGAAUUCCCGGUGUAGCGGUGGAAUGCGUAGAUAUCGGGAGGAACACCAGUGGCGAAGGCGGCCUACUGGGCACCAACUGACGCUGAGGCUCGAAAGUGUGGGUAGCAAACAGGAUUAGAUACCCUGGUAGUCCACACCGUAAACGAUGAUUACUAGGUGUUGGGAGAUUGACCCUCUCAGUGCCGCAGUUAACACAAUAAGUAAUCCACCUGGGGAGUACGACCGCAAGGUUGAAACUCAAAGGAAUUGACGGGGGCCCGCACAAGCAGUGGAGUAUGUGGUUUAAUUCGACGCAACGCGAAGAACCUUACCAAGUCUUGACAUCCCUUGACGAUGCUGGAAACAGUAUUUCUCUUCGGAGCAAGGAGACAGGUGGUGCAUGGUUGUCGUCAGCUCGUGUCGUGAGAUGUUGGGUUAAGUCCCGCAACGAGCGCAACCCUUAUGGUCAGUUACUACGCAAGAGGACUCUGGCCAGACUGCCGUUGACAAAACGGAGGAAGGUGGGGAUGACGUCAAAUCAUCAUGCCCCUUAUGACCAGGGCUACACACGUGCUACAAUGGCGUAAACAAAGGGAAGCGAACCCGCGAGGGUGGGCAAAUCCCAAAAAUAACGUCCCAGUUCGGACUGUAGUCUGCAACCCGACUACACGAAGCUGGAAUCGCUAGUAAUCGCGGAUCAGAAUGCCGCGGUGAAUACGUUCCCG
rnacentral:rRNA from 1 species